UACGUAGGGCGCAAGCGUUGUCCGGAAUUAUUGGGCGUAAAGAGCUCGUAGGCGGCCAGUUGCGUCUGCUGUGAAAUCCCGGGGCUCAACCCCGGGCGUGCAGUGGAUACGGGCUGGCUAGAGGCAGGCAGGGGAGAACGGAAUUCCCGGUGUAGCGGUGAAAUGCGCAGAUAUCGGGAGGAACACCGGUGGCGAAAGCACUCUGCUGGGCCGACACUGACACUGAGAGACGAAAGCUAGGGGAGCGAAUGGG
rnacentral:rRNA from 1 species